rnacentral:lncRNA from 1 species
GGGCCGCAUAGACCCACCCUAACCUUUAACGCGGGCCGCAUUAAGGUGUAACCGGACUCCGCUGGAAUCUUUAGUUCAUGCGGGCCGCGUAAGAUAUCGUUAAGUUAACGCGGGCCGCGAGAGAUCGAAGUUGUGGCGCAGCCCGGUGAUGACACGUGUCAUCAUCGUGGCGGGUCUAGGGGGUGAGCCGGACAAGCUAGUCCGUUGACCAGGAUUGACGCGGGCCGCAUAAUCCCUGUCCAUUCUUUACGCGGGCCGCGUGGGAACCAGUUUCAGCAACUAUAUAAGGAACGCAUCGGAUUUCAAUUCAGUUCGUUCAUUUCUCAAUUCUCAAAUCACAAUUUCUGUAGUAGGCUUAUUAUACUCGGGUAUUAUACCCCUAAUUAGCGAAGCUCUGCCUCGUUGUAAGUAUCAUAACCCCUGGAUACGUAUUAGAUACUCUGCCCGAUUGAUCUAGGGUUCCGUAACGGCUGUCGUGGUUCUGCCCGACGUAGUCGUUGGAAUGCCGUCUCGGGGAGGAUUAUAACCAGGAAGCCACAAAGGAAAUACCUAAAAUAGCAAUGUAACACAAUGUGAAAGCCAAUUAGAAUAGAGCCAGCUCGAGAGCACUGACGGCUUGGAAGAACGUGGCUAUAAAAGUUACCUAAAAGACGAUGUUUUAAAUUCAAUAAAAUAAGGGUUAUCCCUAUAAACAUGUUGUAAUAAAAAUCUUGGGUUUUACCCAUGUGAUUAUAAAAAUAAAAUAUGGUGGUUUUACUCUG